ensembl:snRNA U6 U6 spliceosomal RNA
NUGCUCACUUCAGUAGUACACUCACUAAAACUGGAAUGAUACAGAGAAGGUUAGCAUGAUCCCUGAGUAAGGAUGACACACAAAUUUGUGAAAAUUCCAGUGAGACC